CCGCUCGGUGAUGAGGAGGUGAUCGCCUAUCUGUUGUCCAGGCUUGAUGCUGAAUACGACUCCCUCGUCAACUCCAUCACCGCAUGCGCUGAGCCUCCGUUGCUCAACGAUGUGUACGCGCUUUUUGUCAGCCACAAGA